ACCUGCAAGAAAGUGUCCCGUGGCGGAGGACGCAUGCGCGCAGGUUGGCCACCCAGCCGUGGACGUCGCGGCCCGCGCCCCGCUCGAACGCUGGUGCCGAAGGCACGGGCGGCGGUGGCCGUCGGACGAGGUGCUGGGCGCGGCUGGGCACUGCACUCCCCGUUACCUUCUGGCUUUCGGGUUUCCAAGCAAAGAUUUGCGUACGAGUGCGUCCACCCGGCCCCAUGUGAAGGCCGCUAGCUUAAAGCGUGUCCUGAAGUUGACCAGAUAGCUCUGUCAGACUCAGCCAUACAAAGGAACAAAGUCCUGACACAUGCUACAGCAUGGAUGAACCUUGCAAAUAUGAAUGACGUCCGUCCGACAGAUAAGCAGAAACGAGCUUCGCACGUCCAGAAGCAGAGCCAGGAGGCAGAUCCCAGCGGCACACCCCCACAGACACAAGUGGCAGGUGGCGGCCCUUGUCAGUCACGAAGACCAGCUGCCUCACGUAGUACUUGUACUUGCCGGACACCUGGAUCACUGACUCCCCAGGGUGCAGGACGAUCUCCUCCAGUUUUCCCUGGGUGCCGCCCACGUAGUCGCUC